AACGGCCGCGGUAUAUUGACCGUGCAAAGGUAGCAUAAUCAUUAGUCUUUUAAUAGGAGGCUGGAAUGAAAGGUUUGACGAGGAAUUGACUGUCUCAUUUUAUUUGUAUUAAAAUUUAAUUUUUUGGUCAAAAAGCUAAAAUUUUAUUGGAAGACGAGAAGACCCUAUAGAUCUUUAUAUAGUUGAAUUUAAUCAGUUUUAUAUUAUUAUGAUUAUUGUUGACUGUAUUUUAUUGGGGUGAUAAAAAUAUAUGAUUAACUUUUUUAUUUAUUUUACAUUGAUUUAUGUAUAUUAGAUCUUUUAUUAUUGAUUGUUAGAUUAAGUUACCUUAGGGAUAACAGCGUAAUCCUCUUCCAGAGUUCAUAUUUACAAGAGGGCUUGCGACCUCGAUGUUGGAUUAAGAUAAUAAUUAGGUGUAGCUGCUUAAUUGAUAGGUCUGUUCGAC
rnacentral:rRNA from 1 species